GCCCGACAAAACUUCAAUAUUACAACAUUGGGUGAUGUCCCAACCCCGCCCCCCCCAAACGAGAGUUAGAACUUCGCGUGUUAAGCAUUGUAUUAAGUAUAGCAUUGUUCCCGCCUUGUUCACCUACUCAGUGGUCACGUACUCAAAUUAUAUUUUUCAGAUAUAAUUAGAUCUUUCAACAAUCUCGUGAAUCCUAUAUUAAGGACCUGUUUAAUUAAAAUCUUCAUAUCAGUGUAUUGUCUUCGCCACUGAAUCCGAUCAAUAGGCUAUAAGGCCGCUGUAACUUG